GCACAAGCGGCGGAGCAUGCGGAUUAAUUCGAUGCAACGCGAAGAACCUUACCAAGGCUUGACAUACACCGGUAACGCCCAGAGAUGGGUGCCCCUUUGUGGUCGGUGGACAGGUGGUGCAUGGUUGUCGUCAGCUCGUGUCGUGAGAUGUUGGGUUAAGUCCCGCAACGAGCGCAACCCUCGUCCUAUGUUGCCAGCGGGUCAUGCCGGGGACUCAUGGGAGACUGCCGGGGUCAACUCGGAGGAAGUGGGGAUGACGUCAAAUCAUCAUGCCCCUUAUGUCUUGGGCUUCACGCAUGCUACAAUGGCCGGUACAAAGGGCUGCGAUACCGCGAGGUGGAGCGAAUCCCAGAAAGCCGGUCUCAGUUCGGAUUGGGGUCUGCAACUCGACCCCAUGAAGUCGGAGUCGCUAGUAAUCGCAGAUCAGCAACGCUGCGGUGAAUACGUUCCCGGGCCUU
rnacentral:rRNA from 1 species